rnacentral:misc_RNA from 1 species
AACUGAUACUACCUGCGGGAACCUGCGGAGGGAUCAUUAAUGAGAAGCUGCCCCUCGUGGGUAGACCUCCCACCCUCUGUGAACUUACCUUUGUUGCUUUGGCAGGCCCGUCCUCUGGACCGCCGGCUUCGGCUGGCCCGUGCCUGCCAGAGGAUUCCAAACCCUGUCUGUCAGUGUUGUCUGAGUCUAUAUGAAAUCGUUAAAACUUUCAACAAUGGAUCUCUAGAUCGGAAGAGCACA